GUAUUUUCUUUUGAGGGGCAGUAAAUAAGAGUCUUUUAUGUUGACAAUGAUAAUAUUAUAUUCUACAAUCUAUUUGCAUUUCUCUUUCUGUGGAUUUUAUUGCUUGGUAUAAAUCCCCAGUAUGAGGCACAUUAAAUUUCACAUAGGGCUGGACAGCUAUGUGUACAAGAUGCUACCUGUAGGAAUUGGGUUUUUCCCAGAUAUGAAGGGGGAAUACACAGAAAGGAAGAAAUGCGUAUGUGCAUGCAGGUUUGGGCACAUGCAUAUGAAACCUGGAGGGAUUCUCUUUGGAUCCACAGUCCAAAUGGACUUCCAAGAAGGAGCUGGUAUGACCACAUGCUUCUUCCAUUGUGCCACAUGCAGCCCAUCUUGAUCAGCCAGGUUCUCAGGAGACUGAUCAGCACCUGCUGUAGCUCUGGCCAAAGCUGUUUUUGGGACCAUGUGAAGGACAGAAAACUAAAAUGUGGGCACAAAAGCAUCUAAGACUUGCAGCAGAGUUGAGUCUCCUACCACUUUCUGUGAGUCUGCUGAAUACUUUUCAGUAUGGGAGCAUCCUUUCCAACACACAAGUCAGGAACUGCUGAGAUACAUCACGGUGCAAGCUUGAUCCAAAAUUGAUGUUAACCAUUGACUGUCAACUGAAGACUUCUAUGUGCCACUCACUGUGCUAAGCACCAUCUCAUUUAAUCCUCACAACAGUCCUUCAAGGGGCACUUUUUGAGAGAAGAUCUCGCUAUAUAGUUCAGGCUGGCCUAUCCUCUUGCCUCAGCCCCCCAAGUGCUGGGAUUACAUAGAUGCACCACCAUGCCUGGCUUAAAUGCUUGUUGUCAAAUUCAACUUUUUUUUUUUUUUUGGUACUGGGGAUCAAACUUGGGACCUUGCGCUUGCAAAUUCAACAUUAAAUAUAGCAUUAGUGCAUGAAAUUACCCGUUUUAUUUUCAAGGCAAUUGAAUUCUAUUUUUCACUUUCUACUUCCCCCCAGAAAAGUCAAUGUUUUUAGAGCUUGGCUUCUCAGUGGAUGAUUUUCUAUGGUGGGAAGGUCAGUAUGAAGCAGAGGAGUGUGGCAAUGACAUUCAGGACAGGGGUGGUCAGAGCCGCCGUCCUCUGCUGAUGAAGAGAUUCCACCAGCCAACUUUACAGAACAUAUUGAUUUCACUGUGUUUUCACUUGAAACACCAGUGGAAUGUCCACACCUCGUCCUUGGGCUGGUGGGGGGCAGGAGCUGGAUUUCUGUCCAGAAUUGUGUCAUUGUACUACACCAGAGCAGCAGGAGUACUCAAAGGCAAGGCCUGAAAACACAGACCACACUGGCUUGGCCUAGCUCUGUAAGUGUCAGACACACGAAAGUGGCAUUUGGGUGGGACUUUAAAUAACAGUGAAUCCCAUAGUGAUUAUCAUUCCACCUCUAAUCUUUUUGAGCAUAUUAAUGACAAAGUGUGCUUUAUGCUUUUGUGUCUUUAACCUUUUUCUCAUAUCUGUUUUUGAAAUAAAGACAGAUUAGACUUUAAUCUUCGACUUUAGAAAGUAACAUUUUCUGAUUUGGUUGUAAUGGUUUUAUUUCUUUAAAAAAAAAUUUUGUACAGUGACCCUAAUUUAUAGCAGUUUUCAAAGUAGGAUGAAAAUUUCUUUUGAAAACAAAUCAGUUUAGUUUUUCCCCCCCCACUUGAUGGUGUGCAUGGAUGCAUAUGUGGCAAAACUCACCAGCACAGCAUAUAAACAGCCAGAGUUUGAGAAGCAUCAGUUUAGGCAGGAAAUUGAAGGACAUUGGUUUCUCUUGUACUCAUAGAUGAUUGCCAUUUAUUGGAAGGCUGUGUUUUAAUGCGGCAUAACCAUGGGUGUCAGAGCUGAUUUUUAAUCUUCCGCUCUUCCUAGCUAUGUGCCUCAGCCACCUUGAGUUUCUGUUUGUGCAUUUGUAAAGCGGAUCUUGUGAGCAGGGCAGGACAGCAGCUCAAUUCCUGAGUCAGGAAGCUUCAAUUCCUGAGAGAGGGUGUGGUUGAUACUCCUAAACUGCAGACUCCCUACCUCCAGGCCAAUUGACUUCUGUUUUCUUAUUGCCAGGGCUCUAGGUUUGCCUCUGAGAGGAGAGGGAGGUGGAAUAUACUUUACCCCCUGCAACCUGCUGAAGAAAUGUGCUCCUGAGGCCAGAAAAUCAAGUAAGCCCAUCUGGCUUAGACAGCUCAGCAGCGUGAAGAUCAAAGUCACGUGUGAGUUUUGUGCACAGGCAGCCUUUCCUCAUCUCAGGCUACAAAUCUUUGGCAAUCGGAGGCAGGCUCUGAAUUAAGCUUAAUUAAAAUUCACUCUUAAUUAGGACCAUUACUUAAAAUCAACUCUAUGUAAUAAAGCUGUAUAAUCAUAAUUAAGCCCCAGGAAUGGAAUUAGGAAGCACAGAAUGCAAAAGCCAAACAUGGAUGGGCCUGAUACUGAUGGAGGCAGUGACAGAGACUUCUCAAAUUAACAGAAUUUUUAAAUAACCCAGGACCUGGGAGCAUGCCAAUGACCCCAUCCUGUAGGCCUCACGCCUGUGUAUCUAAUCCUGGCAGAGUAAGACCUGGCAUUUGAGUUGAGAGUGGAAGAGGCUGUUGGGUUUUAAUUCCAGAGCUGUGGAAUUAGAGGGGGAAGAGAAAAACAGAGAGCUCCUUCCUAUAUCUAUUGUUUAACUUACACUUUCAGUUUCUUUGCACAAACCACUUGGGGAUCAUUUUCAGAAGGGUGAAGGGAUGUAUAGGCACCUGCAGCCAAACAUCAGCUGCUUCCUCUUUGAGUCCUUAAUUGUUCAGGGCUGCCUCAUGAUUCUUAUGCAGAAUAUGGAUGCCAACUCUAUGCUGGCCCUGAAUUGGGCUCUCAUUGAGUUUUCACCCAAGCACCAUAGGUCAGGGGUUGUUACUCCCAUUUUGCAGAUGAAGAAAUUGAGGGUCAGAGAAGCAAUCGCUUUUUGGGCAAAGGGAAAUAUAGCCUGUGAUCCCAGAUUGGGUUUUCAGUUCACUCUUAUCAACAUUGUACUCUGCCAGAGAUACUGUCUAGGCCAGGUGCCUCCCAGAUGGCUUCCACCCACAGCAGGGUCAGCACAAAGGCUGGUCCUCUCUACACCUAGACUGACAACUAAUUGUGCCUUUGGUGCCCAAAAGGUCCUGCCAUUUAUAUUCCCCAAACAGCCUCAGGUCUGUGCUCCUCAAUGGCAUUAACUCUACUUGCAUGCUCCUAUGGAUGAGGAAGGACAUCAUCCCUUACUGAGGUAAGCGCUCACAUUUGGAUGACAGGGUAGGGAUGGAGAGAAAUUUGGCCUGAGCCUGUUAUUCAUGAAGCCUUCCAACUCAGAUUUUUUCUUUCUUCCUUUCUUUCUUUUCUUUCUUUCUUUUCUUUCUUUCUUUCUUUUCUUUCUUCCUUCCUUCCUUUCUUUCCUGUCCUGCCCUGUCCUGUCCUGUCCUGUCCUGUCCUGCCCUGCCCUGCCCUGCCCUGUCCUGUCCUGUCCUGUCCUGUCCUGUCCUGUCCUGUCCUGUCCUGUCCUGUCCUGGCCUGUCCUGGCCUGCCCUGUCCUGUCCUGCCCUGUCCUGUCCUGCCCUGUCCUGUCCUGUCCUGUCCUUUCUUCCUUUCUUUCCCAGGGAUCGAAUGUGGCUCUUUACACUUGUUGGCCAGGUGGCGGAACCACUGAGCUAAAUCCCCGGCCCUCCAUCUCAGACUUUAAAUAUCAACUUUGGGCGAUACACAGAGUCAGUGCGUUUGGGUGGUUCUGUGUUGUGUUAAUCAGUAAAUGAAAAGAUUUGAAGUCCUACUACAAUUUCUAAAAGUCUAUAUUAGGAUUUCCUCAUUUGUCAAUGUAGCAGAAACCUUAAUUGGGACAGAAAGCCUGGUCCAUUUUCUCGGCCUAGGCGGCCCUGAGAGUUGAUAAUGACAUUCAUGUUUUGAGCUAAGCUGUACAUGUGGAUCGUUGCUGCUCCCUAGGAAGGGGAGCACCAGCUGGGUGGGGUGGAAGGUUCUUGUGCUGCUGCUCUCCCUGUCCCACAGGAGGGUCUAGGGCUGGAGGAAGGAUUUGCUGGAUAAGGAAAGGUGCCCCUGAGUCCUGCUGCUUUUGAGAGGAAGGUAAAUUGUGGAGAGCAGGGGAACUUGUGGCUGUGCUUUGCAAGUGAAUGGUGGCCACUUCUUAGGGUUCAUAGCACAUACUCCUACUUCACAAAUUUGGGACACCCUGACUGUGGUAUUUUAUGCAAAUGCACACCAUGGGGUUGCUCCAUGCAGGUCAUGUUUAGAUGCAAACCUCAAUGCCAGAGGGUACCUGCAGAGUGAGGUAAUGUCAUAUGAUGGGGCUGAACCCCAAAUGGUGAAUGAUUGGGUUACUAGGUGCUCACAGACACUGUCUCUUGACCUGAGGAGGCCAUGGUUCUUCUCCCAGUGUGAUUUCUUUGUCCUUCAACCCUGAUAGCAUUUGCCUUUAUUUACAUUAAAUAGAGCCAGCUCCACUUGUGGGUUCCUGUAUUUUGGGCAAGCCCAGCUGGAGGUCCCUACAGCCAGUCCCAGCAGGGAGCUGCCACCCUGGUAAUGGUCACAUGGAACGCUCUCCCUGGUGGGGCAGGUCUUCCAACAGUUUACCAAACACUUUAUGUUCCACAAAACACGUGAGGUAAUGUUUAUGCAAGAUCAUUCUGUUCCUUUCAUGACCCAAUAGUGCUCAUGGUGACUGGAUUCACCUCACCCACCUUAAUUCCCCUGGCUGUUUUUCCUGCUGCUCUCAUUGUGCUGGGAAGCAUGCUCAUACUUUUCUCCACAGCAGACUAGCCUGGGAGUGAGGGUCUCCCUGUCUCCAUUCUUCCGGGUACAUUCACAGGUAUAAUGGGCCUUGUUUUACAUAGGAAGAAAAUGAGGCAUAGAACAGCAAGGCAUCUUGGCAAAAGCUACAAAGUAGGUUGGUAGCUGGGCUGGGGACUCAAGAUCCUACCUCUGAAGUCACUCUCUGAACUGCUAUAUCUUUGAUAGCUAUUCAUUUAAAGAUCGCUGGUUUUAUUUUUUAUGGAUGGAAGGAAGGAUGGAAGGUGCAUGGAUGGAUAGAUGGAUGGAUAAAUAGCUAGCUAUAUAUAGGAAAACGCUGGACAAGUGAAUAGGGAGGUGGAUAGAGAGGGGGCUGUGUAGGUAGAUAGACAAAGGGGAAAUUAUAUCAUUCUAUUAGAAUACAUAAGAAACUGCUUUUGGAAAGGGAAUAAGGAAUCAGUUGUGUGUAAGAGAGAGAGAGAGAGCAUUACUUUUUAUUGACUGUUCUUUUUUUUUGCUUUCUCUGAAAUGCUGGAAUGUUUUGCAUGUGCAGAAGUCAGUUUUUAAAUCUCCUUUUCUGCUUCUUUGCCUUCUUUCCCAGUGUAUCUGUCCACAGGAGAAAUCAGUGGAAGAGUCCUUAGCAGAGUCUACAAAGUCAUUUCUUUGCCAGAAACCUCCCACAAUGAAUCACAUCCAUUGGAUACUCUCAGGUGCAUGGGUGGCACAGCAUGGAAGGUAGAAGAAACUCAGAUUUCAGAGUCUUGAGAUCAUCCCCAGGGCUGCUCCAGUGACCUUGACUCCUGAUCCAAUGACCAGAGAAUCUUGGCAGUGGCGACAGCCAGUUUUUUCCACUGGUAUUUAGAAAUGUGAUGAAUUGGAAACAAACUGCAGGCUCAACAGCUUGGAGCUGGUUAAAUGAUUUUGGGUUCAUGCAGCCAGUACAACAAAUCACAAAUCUAUCUUUUCUACACCCGAUAUUAGAUUGAAACAACUGAGCAGAUCCUUUCUGCAGUUACAGUUCCUCAGAAUGGAAUGUGCAGAAUUUAAGUCAAAAUAUGCCAAAAUGUUAGCAAUUAAUUCUUGGUUGUUAUAUGUAAGGAGUAUUAUUUCUUAUUUUUCAUAUUUCCAAUGUACAAACAUGUGAUUUUAUUAUAAAAAACAUUUAUAAGGAGUAGUCUUUUAGAUCAAGAACAAGAGCAUAAAUAUGGGCAUAGAGAGAGUGGAAGAAAAUCAAGCAAAAUGAUACCUUUGGAUGGUAGCCUCAGAAUUUUUUGCCUCCCAUCUUUAUAGUUUUUGAAUUUUCUAUAUUUACUUUUAUAAUAGGCAUUCCUAUUUAAGAUAAUUUUUUUUAAAAAAUUGGUGGAAUGGGAGAGUGGCCAGUUUCUGAGAAGACAAAGCUUUGGGCUCCCCAAAAGCCCUUUCAUGUCAAUUGGUUGAUAUUUUCUGAGCCUAUAAACUAUGCACGUCAUUUGGGCCCAGAGAAGUAGGGGUGAGAAAGCUGAAGGAGAUGCAAGCACUUUAAUCAGAUCACAAUCCAUCAGGGGACAUAAGAGCUCUCAUUAUACAGCUCAAAUUGCAAGGUCUUAAUCCUAGAAGUGUAUCUGUUAAGAGUAUAGUAAUAGGGCUGGGGAUUUAGCUCAGUGGCACAGUGUCUGCCUCACAACCACAAGGUCCUGAGUUCGAGCCCCGGUACAAAAAAAAAAGGUGACAAUAUACUGAGCGGAGCUGCAUCACCUGGGAAGAAACUCACCUGCAUUUCUUAAUCAUGCUGGAUCUGACCCUCAGCUUGCUUUUCUGUAACUGUAAACUGCCUCAUAAUGUCCUUGUGAGGGCUAAGUGAAGCCUGUGCGUGAAGGGCUGGGCAAGGCUACCUUCACCAUGAAUCACAUUAUCAUUACUGUGUCUCAGGUUUUGGGGCCAGCUAUCCAUAAGCUGUGUUUUCCAAGAUGUCGCUGGCAUUUGGACUCACCUUUAUCCAACUCCCAAGCCAUUGAUUCUACCCAAAUCAGGCACUGCAUUCACUCCACACCAAACUGAAAUUUGUUGUAAACCUCACUAUUUUCUUAUGAUCUUGCCAGGAAAAAAAGCCAAAUUUCUAUUCAAAGAUCAGAGGCGAAAUGAAUUUGGUUCAAAGAACAUGAGAGGAGGAAAGAUGCAGGAUGCCGUAGUGUCACCUGCACUGUUGCCAAGAAUCUUGCUGCAGAAGAUUCACCCUGAAGCCUGUGUUGGUAACACAGCAUUGCUUGGCUUGUCCUUAACUGUGAAUGUGUCAGGAUUUCCCUCCUAACCACUUGUGUUAGUUUGCUCUGGUUGGAGGGCAGACUGUCAUGGAUGGAAAGCAAAAGGAAGUAUAGGGCUGGGGAUUUAGCUCAGUGGUUUUGCUGUCUGCUGCGCAAGCGCAAGAACCCAAGUUCAGUCCCUGUUACCAAAAAAGGACGUAUAAAGAAGGGCCAGUGUGUUUAAAAAGAACCUAAACACCUGGACAACCAAUGCCAAGAGGUGUGAGACACAGGUUAGAAUUGGAAGUCUAAAAAAACGGAGUCAAAAGCAAUGGAGAUCUAGAAAAAGGGACAAGGAAAACCAAAAGCACAGCGGAAAUUCUUUUUAGGGAUAUCCAUGUCAUUCAGAAAAGUUACCUCCUUGAAAAGAGUGUUAAUAUCAGUGGUUUUCCCCCUGUCUCUCCAGUCAUCUGUUUUUUAAGGGCUCUACCUAAACUCACCUGUAACCCAUCCUGUCCCACCUCCUCUUCACACUAGGCAUUAGGAGUACAAAUACUUUAUUAAGAGAAAUCAGACACACAAGCUUAAAUAUUGGAUCAUUUCUCUUAUAUGAGAAACCCAAGAUAUAAAUAAAGAACAAAAUAAAAGAUAAUAGGAAAUAGGGAGAUGGAGCUUUCACAAUGGGAAGGGAACCUGGAGAUCGGAAGGGGGGUGGUAAAAAGAAUUAAAAUGUCUUAUGUCCAUGUACCAGCUCCACAUGGUGAAUAUAAUUAUUAUGUACUGCAAACAUCUAAUAAAAUUUUUAAGAAUUAAUAAAAAAAGCCAGUGCAGAUAAGAGCACAGGAGAGCUGUGUGCUUGAAUAAGGAAGAAGAAUACAUAAGCAUAUCAGGGACAAGUACAGUGCUCAAGACUGGUAUGAAGUGAAGUGGCUAAUGGGACAGGUAGGCAGAAAAGACUUUCCAGGGGAGCCAGGACUUGAGCUCAGUCCUCAAGGACAGUACAAGCAUGUUCCUGUGGCCCUGAGAGAGGAAUUGGUUUCAGGCACCUGCAGAAAGAGGCUGCAGGGAGCAUGAGAAUGCCAUGGGCCUUUGGUGUGCUUGGUAGAUGGCACUGGUUGGAUCAUAGGUAUUUAUAGAGAAGACUUGGUACAAUAAGGCUACCAUGCAAGUGGGACAACCCCCAGAAGUUGGCUGACAAGCUGAAGGACCUAUCCUGAAAGUAGUGGCAAGGGGAAGAGGUGGCAUUUGAUUUGUUCCCUGGCAGUGAGUUUCUUCUAUGCUCAGGAGUUGAGCCACCUUGGGCAAUAUGGAGGUCAAGCCUCUUAUCCUCUCUGUCAGAGCUUCAGUUUAGAGAGAAGAAUUAGUCCAGAUUUAUCAUUUAUCAGAUGACUUUGGAACAGCACAUAAUUGAAUCUUGAGAAAAGUCUACUCAUGCAUCCGUUUCUUCAUUCACUCAUUUAGAUUGGUUCUUAGGCAUCCAAUAUUUUAUGUUCAGUACUGCUGAAAUUUCUUUGGGGGCUACACAAUUUAGUAGGAGUUGCCUCUAAUUUCAAGAACCUUCAAGUCAGAGUAAAGGAGAGAUGACUACUAAUUCCACAGUGUUAACCCACCAACUAAGCUCUUUAUCUCAUCUCCUAAGACUCCUUUAACCCCUUCAAUAGAUUUCCCAUCUCUCAUGGGAAAAAUGUGAACUCUUAUCUAAAACUAAUUGUCUCUCUAUGGGAAACCUUUAUUUGUCUCCUAAAACUCAUCUCCUACCACUCCUUACCUUUUUCUGCUCUAGCCCACUGCCUUUUCUUUCAUUAGAUUCUCUUCCACCACAGGUCUGUAGCACAUGCUGCUCCUUCAGCCCAAGCCAUCUUCUCUGGUUCAUGCCUACUUAUUCUGUAAGCUCAGAUGAAUAAUUCUGUGGGAAAGGUUUCUCAGUCCAUCUGAAUUGACCAAGUCUUUAUUACACACUCUUCUACUCCAUCUAAUAUCACUCACAGGCCUUUUCCCAGUUAUAAUUAUUUUUCAUUUAUUUACACAAUAACUAUAUUAACAUCUACAUUUUCUACCAGAUCAAAAGUCCCAUAAAAGCAAGCACUGUUUUUAUAAUAAUUGCCAGAGUAUAAUUUAUUUAUAAUGUGCACACACAUUUUAGAUGUACCUUUCAGUGAAUAUUGGCAUAUUUAUGCAAAAGCUUAUAUACAUGUUUAUUACUAAAACUGCAUAUGGAACACUUCCAUCCCUCUAAAAUUAUGCUGUGCUUCAGGCAGCCACUCAUAUGCCUUUUGUCCUUAUAGAUUGGAUGUCUUUUCUAUAGUUUGAUAUAAAUAGAAUCAUAUGGCCAGAAUCCCUUAUGUUUGGCUUCUCCCACCCAGCAUAAUGUUUUUGAGUCAUCUAUGCAGUGUGUCAUCAUAGUCUGUUCUUUUUAAUAGCUGACUGAUGCCAUUCUCAUUGGUUCAUUGGAGUUACCACUCUCUCUUCAUACAGCCUUCAGCUUCUUAAGGCAGGAGCCACAUUUCCUAAUACUUCCAGUACUUGGUAUAGAUCUAGACAUAUAAGUGGCCUUUGAAAGGGAUAUAGUCCGUCUUCCCUGAUUCAGGGCAUGUAAGUGAUCAUUCUACUCACACUUAGUAGUCAUCCUGCCAUCACAGGCUUCCUUUGCAUACUUCACUAGUUAAGCAUCUGGGUCCAGGAUACCUAAGCAUACUUGCCUUCCUUUAGUACCACUCUGAUGCUUCCCAGAGCCAGAGAGAGGUCCUGGGUCAACCUUGGUGGUGAGGCCCAUGAUGAUAGGCAAAUCCCUUUAACAUUUUGAACUUGGACUUCCUUGUCUAUUGAAUGGAGAUACUGAUAUGUAUCUCAAGGGUCAUAAAGUGAACUCAGGUGUAUGAAAGUGCUGUGUGAAGUAGAAAAUGCAAUACUGUACAGUGAAAGUUAAUUCCAUCAUUUAAUUGCACUUCAUCCUGGAUUAACUGGCUGUGUUACCUGAGACAUGUAGACCUUCAGUUUCUUUCCUAUCAGAUGAGGGUUGAACUAGUGUCCUCCAAGGUGCCUUUCAUCUUGGACCCUCCUAUUCUAGGGCCCUGGAACACUAGAAACAGAGCCUAUCUGAUUCUCCAGCAUGGGAAAAAUUGGGGAGAAACAAACAGUUUCUCUGAAAAUUCUCUUCCUGAGUAAAGGAAGCCAGCUCUAGUUUCCAGAACAAGCCAGUGUUUUUGCAUCAAUAGAUUUAACUCUGUAGCUAUUUCCAAAAACAUUAGGGAAAAUAACAGAGCUCCUGAUUUCCAGGUGCGCUUACUGGUGCUAUGAAGCAUGUCCUUUGCUGGGAACUGAUCUUUGAUAGGGAUAAAUGUGUCCAAGUUACUUUAGAGCAGGAAGUAUUCCUUUUUUUUGGUACUAGGGAUCGAACUCAGGACCUGGCACUUGUGAGGCAGGCAGUGGCACCACUGAGCUAAAUCCCCAGCCCAAGUGUUCCAUUUUUUAAGCCAGUAAUUUAGUUAAGUCCACCUCCAGAUGAGCCCUGUCAUUCAGGCAACAGAGGAUUUCUAAGUACCUACUGUGCGGUAAGUGAUAUAUAUAUAUAGUCAUCCCCAAUAGCUUUGUGAUAGAGGUAGUAAGUUCAUCCCAUGUGGCUUGACAUGUGCCCUCAGUUGGUAAAUGGCCAAGUCAGGGCUAGAAUCAUUGGUCCUUCCCACUGUGACAGGCCCUGGAUUAGCCCCGGGUGGUACAAAGAUAAUUCAUGUACACUUGAAUUCUGUAUGGCCAGGAAGAGAAGGCAACAGCUUCAUCUUUACAAGAGGUAAAUCCAAGAAUGUCAAGAUGCUAGAAAUUUCCCAUCAAGUUCAACUCCUUGACUUUAACAAUGAACAAAUGGAGGUCGCCAGACCUUCUCAUCUGCCUGGGACACAGUGGCAGUCCAGGAAACUGGAACUGUUACCCAAAAUUUCAAUUCCCAGCUUAGAGAUUUUCACACUACAGCAUAUCAUAGGGCAGAGUGGGGACUGCUGCCAGAAACAGGGAAGUGAAGAAUUUUUUUAAAAGGCUAUUUCCAAGUCUCCUGUCCCCUGUGUCCCAAGUUCAAAGUAAAGAGUAUUGGGAAGAGUCAGUGGAGAUGUUCAAUAACUACCAUUUUAAAUGAGCACAAUGCCGUGUUCUUUUCCUGUUAUCUCCUGUAGGACCAAGGACAAAUUUCAGUAGAAGAAUUUUGUGAGAUUCUCAUUCCUCGUAAACCCUCAGUUAAGACUGUAUGGAACCUUCACUCAGUAAGAAGCAACUUCUAAAAAAAAAAAAAAAAAAGAAGAAGCAACUUCUAAUUCCCAUUUUGGAAUUUGCCCAUUUUUUGGUUCCUAGUGGAAACAAGGAUUGUACUUACGGUUCUUCCCCAACCCCCCCUUGCAUUAUAAGACCCUAAUUAGCUCUGCAGUUAUCUUUAUUCACCAAUCACACAGGCUUCUUUCCUAUCAAAUGGACCUGUACAAACAAUUUCACCGUUAUCUCAGUGGUUAAUUCAGUGAGAGCAGACAUUGCCCAGUGCCUGGAAGUCAGUCAGUGCUUAAUAACUGUGAGCCACCAUCCUUGCUACUGGCACAGUGAUGCUCCAGGAGCCCCUUGACCAUAAACCUACAAUAGUCUCUUUCUGCGUCAUCAACAUCUGUGCAAACUGGAGGCUGGGAUGUGGCUCUAGGCAUCUUUUGCACCAGGAUCCAGGUCCAGAGUGUCUCCCUGUGUGUCACUGUCCUGUGCUUCACAAUCUGAGUAGAAGUGUUCUCCCUCUGUGCACAGACAUGAGUUUCCUCUGCCAAGACCAUGAUGCUGGGAGGGACUUGGGGAAGGUGACAUGCAAGCCAAAUAAAGACAACAGAAAACCAAGUCAAAUGAAGACAACAGAAAACCAAGAAAAGAUGAAGAAGCUUGGAGAGAAACAGGGGAAAGGGAAUACAGAGGUGAUGACAGAGAGUAAAUUGGACUUACCAAGAAGCAGAAAUCAGUGGUGGGUGAAGGACAAGGGUCUGGUGUCACACAUGCCUGGGCUGGCAACCUGGUGGUGCUCUUUUUAUUCCCCCAUUAAGUUUAUUGGUACAUUUUAGGUAUACAAUACAGUUAUAUUCAUCAUUGGGAUCUUGUACCAUUACAUGACUGUCUUGGUUCUUAUUCUUUUUUUCCCCUUCCCCUGCUCUCCCUUCACCCCCUCCACCCUUCCCUAUUUGCAAAGACUUUGUUUCCAUUUUUUUCCUUUUGUCAUAUUUUUUUCUUUUCCCUUCUUUCCUUUCCCCUACCCCUCCCACUUCCCCUGCUCCUUUAGACCUUUUCUUCCUAUUACACAAUAUCAAUUAUACAUUGUUAAAAUUAUAGUAUCAAUAUCUAGGAGACAUUACCACAGAUGUUACAGAAUUUAAAAGGGUAUAGAAAGCAUAUUACAAAAAUCUUUUUUGAAAUAAAUUUGAUGACUUCUAAGAAGUACCUUGGAAGACAAAUUAAUGGAACUUACUCUGGAGGAAAUAUAAAAUUUGAAUAACACCUAUUAAAGAAAGUAUAUUCCUAGCUUGAAAACCUACCUAUAUGACAACAACAGGCUCAUAUACAUUUUAACUAAUAAAUUAUAUCUAAUAUUUAAAGCAAAAAAAGAAGAAACACUUCUCCCAUCAUUUUAGGAAAUCAACAUUGUGCUAAUACUAAAGCUGGAUAAAGUUAAUAGAAAAAAGUAUGAACAUAGGGGCCGGGGUUUUAGCUCAGUGGUUUUGCCACCUGCUGCACAAGCGCAAGGACCCGAGUUCAAUCCCCAGUACCAAAAAAAAAAAAAAAGUAUGAACAUAGAUAGGAAUUUGUUUAAUAAAACAAACUUGGAAGUCAGAUCUGGCAGUAUGUAGAAAGUGGUUUUAUUAUAGGGAUAGCAGUGUUGGUUCAGCAUUGGAAGAUCCAGCCCCAAAAGUCAUCAUUUUAACAGAGGAAAGGAAAAAGCCAUAUGAUCCCGUCACUAGUUGGAGAAAAAGUAUUGGACUAAAUUCUACAGCUGUUCAUGGUAAAAGCUAUCAGGAGUCUAGAAGUAGAACAGAACCUUCUCAACAGAUCAAAGACAUGUACUCCAUACUUCCAGUGAGAAUGCCUUAUAUGAAUGGAGAAGAUACAAUGCUUUCUCCCUAAGGUGGGGAACAAGGGGAGAUAUGCCUACUCUUCAUCUGUCCAUUAAACUUUGAAACAUAGGCCCAAACCAAAAUACUCUGGCACUAAAAAGACACAAUUAGCAUACAAUUGGCAAGGUAGAAGUAAAAUCUUUAUAUGUGGAUGAAAUGAUCAUCUACAGAGAAAAUACUAAGAAAUCUCAAGGAGCCCCUAGAACUUGUAUUUGAAUUUAGCAGGAUUGUAUUUGAUUUUAGCAGGAUUAGAAAACACAAGGUAUAUAUAAAAAUUCAGGUCUAUGUAUACUUACUAUAAAGGAAGAACUGGAUAUUGAAAUUUAAAAGUUAUGUAGGAGUACAAAGGACCUAGAAAACUAAAAAGAAAAAGAAAAACUAUUGGAAGACAUUUAGUACCUAAUUUUAAGACUUACUCUAAAGCUAUAGUAGUCAAGGCAGUUGACUACUAGUAUUGAUGUAAGGAAAGACAUAUACAUCAUUGGAAUAAAACAGAGAAUCUAAAAAUAGAACCACACAUAUAUGGUCCACUGAAUUUUGAAAGAUUAUUUAACAUUAACAUUUUAUAGAACAUAAACUCCAUUCAAGAGCCGAGGAAAAGAUAGUGUUUUCAGCAAAUGGCACUAGAACACCUGGUAUCCGUAUAUAAAAAAUUAAACUAAACUUUAUUUAUAUAUAUAAAAAUAACUUGAAAGGAUCUAUGAACCUAAAUAUGAAAGACUAAAACUAUAAAACUUGAAGAAGAAAUUACAAGGGAAAAUGUAUAUGAAUUUAGGGUAGGCAAGAAUUUCCUAGGAUAUAAAAAACAUGAUGUAUAAAAGAAACUUUGAUAAAUGAGAUUCCAUCAAAAUUUAGAACUUUAAAUGACAUCAUUAAGAAAGUGAAAAGUAGUCCUUAAACUGACCAUAUUUAUAAUGCAUAUAACCUAUGACCAGAAUAUAUAAAGAACUCUUACAGCUUAUUAAUAGACAAUCCAAUUAAAAAUUAGACAAAAGAAGAUGGUAAAUAGCCAAUACAGAACAAGGAAAGGUGUGCAACACUAGAAUCAGAAAAAUACUAAUCAGUACUAUCAAAAGAUUGAAUUAUACACUCAUUAGGGAGAUGAAGUUAAAAGUUUUAAAAGAACAAAUGUCAGCUCAGGUCUGAACCAAUUAGAACUUUCUCAUACUGCUAAUGUGAAUGUAAAAUGAUAAAACCAUUUUGGAAAACAAUAUGGAAAUUUCUUGUAUUACUGUUAAUAAACAACAGUCCUGUUCUUAAGUUUUUACUUGAGAGGAAUGAAAACACAUGUUCACAAUAGAUUUGUACAUUCCAGUUGAGUAUCCCUUAUCUGAAAUUCUUGGGACCAGAGUGUUUCAGAUUUUGGUUUGAGAUCUACUUGAUCUGCAAAGAGGAUAGCUACUCCUGCUUUUUUUCUGGUUCCUGUCACAUGGAGUAUUGUUUUCCAUCCUUUAACUUUCAGACUAUGAGUUUCUUUGAAUUAAGUGUUUCUUCUAUGCAGCAUAUUGUUGGAUCUUGCUUCUUGACCCAUUCUGCCAGUCUCUUUCUUUUGAUUGGUGAACUGAGACCAUUAACAUUGAUGGUUAUAACUCAUACAUAUUGACUUAUCAUUGUCAUGACUUUUUGUGUUUGUUGGAUUCUCCCCCUUUGGAUUUAAUUUCUUGUCAUGCCCGACAGAUUCAUUCUGCUGGGCUUCCUGGGGUUGUGAUCCUCAUUGUCUUUUCCUAGGAUAUGGUCUAAAAUUUUUUGUAGUGCUGGUUUGGUAUUCAUGAAGUUUGUAAGGUGCUCUUUGUCAUGAAAGUAUCUUAUUUCUCCAUCAAUUUUGAAAGAUAAUUUUGGAGGGUACAUCAAUCUAGUUUGGAGGCUAUUUUCUUUUAGGGCUUGAAAUACAUCACUCCAAGCUCUUCUUGCCUUGAGGGUUUGCAUUGAGAAGUCUGCUGUGAUUCUGAUGGGCUUUCCUUUGUAUGUGAUUUGUUUCUUUUCUCUCACUGCUUGUAGAAUUUUGUUCUUCUGUUGGGUUUCUGGAAUUUUAACAAUUAUAUGCCUCUGUGUAGAUUUUUUUUUUUGAUCAAGGCUAGUUGGAGUCUUAUAUUCCUCACUUAUCUUUAUGUCAAGUUCUUUUCCCCUCCUUGGGAAGUUUUCUGCCAUCACUUCUGUGAACAGUUUUUUUUAUGUCAUCUGCACUUUCUCUUGUUUCUUCAUUGACUCCAAUCAGUCUUAUGCUAUUCUUCUUUGCAUUGUCUAGCAGCUGCUGGAUUGAUUUCUCAUGAUCCCUUACAAUUUUGAAGCAAUUUUUCUUUUCCUGGUCACUAAUUGCAAUCUUAUCUUCUAUAUCUGAAAUUCUGUCCUCACAUUGGCUCAUUCUGCUGCAUAGACUUUCAAUGGAGUUUUUGAUCUGGAAAUCUGUUUGCAUCUGUUUUAUGGAUUCCAUUUGUUUCCUAUGUUGGGAUUCCAUCAUGUUCCUGAGCUCCUCUCUAGAUUUAUUAAUCAUGUCUUGCACUAUGAGCACAAUCUCUGCUGUUAUGUGAGAAAUUAUUUCUAAUUUCAUUUUUUCCAGGUCUUCUUUUGUUACCAGUUCAGGGAGUCCAGGUGUUUGAGUAUCAGAAUGUUUCAUCUCCUUUCCCUUUGGGGUUGCUGUAGGUGAUCUGGAAGUCUGAUUUGAAACUUGUUUAUGUGUCUUUUCAUUUUGAAAGGAGUGGGGGUGCUGCGGGCACCUGUGCAGCUUGCCUCCUGUGUGCUAGCGGGGGUGGUGUGGUGGCCUGGAAGCCUCCUCUUGUGCGCUGGGAGCAACUCACCACCUGGCUGUGUUCUUGAAGAGUGUGUGACUUUGGGCAAAUCACUGCCUCUCUAUGAAUCUCAUUUUUCUCCUUUGUAAAGGGAUGCUAAUAGUUCCUCCUUCAGAAGUUUGUCUUCGGAGAAGAUGUAAUGAGUUGAUAUGUGUAAAGCACAGUGGCUUGCUUAUAAUAAGCUCUCCACGCUCAACUAGAAUAAUUAUAAUUAUGUUCUUCUCUUGGCCAUAUACCUUUAGUUCCCUCAAAGGCUGUGUGUGGCUGGCAUCAUGAUUCCAGUUUUAUGAAAGAGAAGUUAAGGGCAGUGGCUGAAUCGUUGCAAUGUGUAGAUCUUUUCCUCUGUACUCUGUUGCUAUCCAGACAGGAGGUUGUAGCUGGGCUCUGGGUGCCCAUGGCUUCAUUUUUCCCAGCUUCUGCCGAGCAUUGACAGGCUCAGGAGCAAAAGUUUCAACAGAUGACCUUUAGGGGGCAGCAUGAGCCUGGGAAACCCUCAGAUGUCUUUGGGAACUGAGCUGUGCUGUCAGCUAAAGGGGACCUAAGGCUGUCCUACUGGGGCUCCCAUUGUUAUGACAAUAGUUGAGGCCUAGGCUAUGGGGCUUCAACAGUGAAGGGACAAGAGGGGCACUGAAUUAGGAUGCUUGGCCUCCCCUGCAACCUCUUUUUCCCACUAUUCCAUUCUGCUUAGUAAAUAGGGGCUGAUCUGGUCCAAGCCAUACAGGGCAUUAAUUCCCAGCCCUCCACAGAUUGGAGGAGGUAGUGCAGCCUGGAGAGUGGGAGAGCAAGAGAGCACUUCCUGAGUCAACAGAAACAACUUAGAACCCAGUGCAUUUCUUAGUGCACAUGGAUCCCUCUGACUCCUGCUCAUCUUCUGGCUCUUGAGCCACUGGGGGCCAGAUUCCUGGGCCCUCCCCAGGUCUCUGAGUCAGACCAGUAGAGGUCACUUUGACCAGUAGUGGUCCAGAGGAUUUUUAUGCAAACUUGCAUCUGACAGCUUCUUUUCUGGUGACAGAAAGACCUGACAGAAGGUCCAUAAGGGAAGAAUGGGGUAAUUUAUUGAUCACUCCUUGCUGGGGCCUGAGCUAAGUGCUCCAUAGAUGCCGUUCUUUGUUUUUCCCUUCACAUUAUUCCUUUACCCGUUCUUAAUGGCAGAGCACUGGACUGAGACUCAGAGAGGUGAAGUGACCUGCUAAAGGCACACUGCUGUCAGCACCUGAGAGGAUCAGAGCUCAGGGCUCUGUAGUUUUAACACUUGCCAGCUUUCACUCUCCAUGUAAUCAGGCCCGGGUCUAAAGAAGGCUGCUGGGCUGGUGUCCAGCACAUGGGCAAAGAAAGGGCCAAGAAAUCCCUUGCCUUCAAGAGUCAAAUCUGACUUGGACUCCUUAGUUUGGGGCCUGGGAUCUGUCAAACACUAAAACAUUUAAGGCUUUUUUUUUUUAAAUAUCUGAAGUAAGCCAUCUAUUAUCUCCUCCACCUUGGCCUCUGCCAGAGGUGGCUCAGACACCCUGAUGAGACCGAAGACCCAUGGCUCUCCAGCCGUGAGCAUUUUGGCGGGAAAGGGGCUUGGAGAUUAACAGGCAGGGCCUCUGAGGCUUGCAAGAAAACUUGUCUUCAGAAUCCUUCAGACUGCUGGAUGCCAGGCCUUCCAAUUCUUCCCUUUCCCCUUGGAGAUUUUAACCUCACUCUCCUUGUGGGAACAGUGGAUCUCCAGCUUCUGUCUGCUCUGGCCAUUUUUAAGGACUCUGACAUCUUGUGGAAGAAAGGGGCUCUUCAAAGCCAAAUGGGCAAUAUAGAGGUCAGUUGUUUGGCAGCACUUCUACUACAUGCAAUCCUGCUUUGGGAAAUGGAUCAGUUCUGGAUAAUCUCUGACCCUACCAUCUCUCUAUCCCCAUAGUCAAACAGGACUCAAAUACUCCAUUUGAGUGAUACCUGUGCUGACCUUGAGAAUGUUUGCCUCUGGCUCCAGUAAUUUAGUCUCUCUCUCUCUCUCUCUCUCUCUCUCUCUUUUUGUGCAUCAUCUCUUGUGUCUUCUCAUUUGUUCCAUCUCUAAUCUGUCUGCUUCAGUUUAUUCACUAUGCAAAUUAGUUAUUUGAAGGACUAGAAGCCUCUUCCCAGGCCCAAUAACCCAGAACUUGAAAAAGAAUUCUCCUCCCUCCGUGAGGUGUCCAUGGAUUGAGAAAUGCUAACAUUCCCACUGUGCUCUGGCUGGUGCUCUUGCCCUGGAAGAUUUCAGCCAGUCUAUUCUGGUGGGCCCUGGAGGUCAUCUGCAAAGCAUUGGCUUCUUCCCAGCCUGCUGGCAAUAAGAAAGGACAGAGACCUUACCAGUGUCCUUCAGCAUUCUAGAUGGGUAAAUCUCUUCUUUCUUUUGGUUAAGGUUGGCAUUUAGCCAGAAUGUUGGUAGAUCUCUAAGCAAAAGAAAGGCAGCUAAUAAUACUGACCAUUCCUAACAAGAGGUAGCCCCUGAGGCUAUCCAACUGCCUUGACACCAGAUGCCAAACAUUUUUGGAAACUUUCUGGUCUCCCCAUCCCAGACAUCUGUGUAUGGCUCAGUCCACAGCAGCAAAUCUGAGGUGGUGAUGGUUCUGGCUCUUCAGUUCUAUAGAGUCAGGCUGAUGUCUCAGAAUCCCCCAAGUUAAGCAGGUGCCUUCUUCUCCAAGGGCCUCCAUUUCCAUAUCUGUUUAAUGAAUACUUUCUAUCCGUGCCCCUCAAAUUUCAGGCUAAAUGGGAGAAUUCAUCAAGAUAAUCUGUGAAGCCGUGUGCUUGGUCCUUAGAAAAACAUGGUACCCCACCUUCCUGCCAGAUCUCCAGGCUCUCUAGAAUGUUGUGUUAUAGUCAGCAGAUCUUCAGUUUAAAUAAGGGUACAAGUAGUACUUUCACUUUGAGUAGAAAUUGCACUUCUAGGACUAACCAGGAGAAAUGAAGGCUCAUAAGGAUCCAUGUAAAAAGAUGAUAAUUGCUGCAUUUGUUGUGAUUUUCAAGUGGAAAAUGGAAAAAAAGAAACACAAAACAAAUGUAUGGCUGUGGAAGACAGGCUGAAUGAACUCAAACUAUGGUACUCCACAGUGUUGAGUUAACAGCUCUGAACAAUAAUGGAAUUUAAAAAUUGAUCUGGAGAGAUGGUCAUGAUUCAUUUAUUGAAAAAAGAAAUAUGUAUUAAAAAUGUGUAUACUAUGAUUUUUAAAAAAAUAAACCACCAGAAACAUGCAUGGUUCUGUGACCCUAAAGAGAGAUAUGGAAUGAUCCACACCAGUUGUCAACAUUGCUUACAUGGAGAUGGAAACUGAAAAGAGACAUGAAGGGAAGAAAGGAGAUUUAAGAAUUUACUUGAUUUAUUUCUGUUCAUCUCUGAAUUGUCUGCUUUUUUCUAAAUAUAUGUAUCCAUUGUUUUGUAAUGAAAUAAAGUUGUUAGAAGUCUACCCCACAACAUAGUCUUCAGUGAAUGAAAUGAGUAAAUGAG
ensembl:lncRNA